GAUGAACGCUGGCGGCGUGCCUAAUACAUGCAAGUCGAGCGAACGGACGAGAAGCUUGCUUUUCUGAUGUUAGCGGCGGACGGGUGAGUAACACGUGGAUAACCUACCUAUAAGACUGGGAUAACUUCGGGAAACCGGAGCUAAUACCGGAUAAUAUUUUGAACCGCAUGGUUCAAAAGUGAAAGACGGUCUUGCUGUCACUUAUAGAUGGAUCCGCGCUGCAUUAGCUAGUUGGUAAGGUAACGGCUUACCAAGGCAACGAUGCAUAGCCGACCUGAGAGGGUGAUCGGCCACACUGGAACUGAGACACGGUCCAGACGCCUACGGGAGGCAGCAGUAGGGAAUGUUCCGCAAUGGGCGAAAGCCUGACGGAGCAACGCCGCGUGAGUGAUGAAGGUCUUCGGAUCGUAAAACUCUGUUAUUAGGGAAGAACAUAUGUGUAAGUAACUGUGCACAUCUUGACGGUACCUAAUCAGAAAGCCACGGCUAACUACGUG
rnacentral:rRNA from 1 species